UACGGGGGGGGUAAGCGUUGUUCGGAAUUACUGGGCGUAAAGGGCUCGUAGGCGGCCAACUAAGUCAGACGUGAAAUCCCUCAGCUUAACUGGGGAACUGCGUCUGAUACUGGAUGGCUUGGAUUCGGGAGAGGAAUGCGGAAUUCCAGGUGUAGCGGUGAAAUGCGUAGAUAUCUGGAGGAACACCGGUGGCGAAGGCGGCAUUCUGGACCGACACUGACGCUGAGGAGCGAAAGCCAGGGGAGCAAACGGG
rnacentral:rRNA from 1 species